rnacentral:rRNA from 1 species
AGUGGCGGACGGGUGAGUAACGCGUGAGAAUCUGCCUUGGGGUCGGGGACAACCACUGGAAACGGUGGCUAAUACCGGAUAAGCCGAUUGGUGAAAGAUUUAUUGCCCGAAGAGGAGCUCGCGUCUGAUUAGCUAGUUGGUGAGGUAAGAGCUCACCAAGGCAGCGAUCAGUAGCUGGUCUGAGAGGACGAUCAGCCACACUGGGACUGAGACACGGCCCAGACUCCUACGGGAGGCAGCAGUGGGGAAUUUUCCGCAAUGGGCGAAAGCCUGACGGAGCAAGACCGCGUGAGGGAGAAGGCUCUUGGGUUGUAAACCUCUUUUCUCAGGGAAGAAGCUCUGACGGUACCUGAGGAAUCAGCCUCGGCUAACUCCGUGCCAGCAGCCGCGGUAAUACGGAGGAGGCAAGCGUUAUCCGGAAUUAUUGGGCGUAAAGCGUCCGCAGGUGGCGAUUCAAGUCUGCUGUCAAAGCACGGGGCUUAACUCCGUAAAGGCAGUGGAAACUGAAUAGCUAGAGUGCCGUAGGGGUAGAGGGAAUUCCCGGUGUAGCGGUGAAAUGCGUAGAGAUCGGGAAGAACAUCGGUGGCGAAAGCGCUCUACUGGACGGCAACUGACACUCAGGGACGAAAGCUAGGGGAGCGAAUGGGAUUAGAUACCCC